AUUGAACGCUGGCGGCAGGCCUAACACAUGCAAGUCGAACGAGUGGCGGACGGGUGAGUUAAGUCUGGGAAACUGCCUGAUGGAGGGGGAUAACUACUGGAAACGGUAGCUAAUACCGCAUACUUUCGGAUGUGGCACGAUGGGCUUAGCUAGUAGGUGGGGUAACGGCUCAACGUGGCGACGAUCCCUGGCUGGUCGGAGAGGAUGAUCAGCCACACUGGAAAUGAGGCACGGUCCAGACUCCUACGGGAGGCAGCGGUGGGAAAUAUUGCACAAUGUGCGCAAUCCUGAUACGGCCGUGCCGCGUAUGUGGAGAAGGCCAUCGGGUUGUAAGGUACUUUCAGCGGGGAGGCGUUACCCGGAGAAGAAGCACCGGCUAACUCCGUGCCAGCAGCCGCGGUAAUUC
rnacentral:rRNA from 1 species